UUUGCCUACGGGAGGCAGCAGUAGGGAAUUUUCGUCAAUGGGCGCAAGCCUGAACGAACAAUGCCGCGUGAACGAGGAAGGUCUUCGGAUCGUAAAGUUCUGUUGAAGGGGAAAAAGAGCGGAGAGAGGAAAUGGUCUCCGAUUGAUAUUACCCUUCGAGGAAGUCACGGCUAACUACGUGCCAGCAGCCGCGGUAAUACGUAGGUGGCGAGCGUUAUCCGGAAUGAUUGGGCGUAAAGGGUGCGUAGGCGGCGUGCUAAGUCUGGAGUGAAGGGUAACGGCUCAAACGGUAUAGGCUCUGGAAA
rnacentral:rRNA from 1 species